CUCUGCACAAUGAACAUUAUCAAAUAUUAUUAAUGUUGUAAAAUAUAUUGUUCAUUGUUAGUUCAUAUUAGCUAAGGCAUUACCAAAUGUUAAGGAAUAAACUCUUAUAGUAAAGUGUUACUAAAUUUUCUUUUACCAUUUCCUUCACAAUGUCUACUUAUUUCUAUGGCUAACAGAUUUUGUAACAUUUGUAUUUUUUACAGUCUUACCAUUGCUUGUAAGCUGGAUUGGGUAAGAUGGAUCAUCUUUAAAGGCACCAGGCAAGUACAUGAUGUACAGUUACAAGUCAUUUAUUUUUUCGACUGCAAUAUUAAAUGCUUUCACGUCACAUGCAAAAUUACACAGGAAUGUGGCUGACUUUUUAUUUGUAGUUUACCUGAGUGUCAUUGCACUUUUCAGGAGUUAAGGCAGAUGUGGAGGCACAACGGGUGAUACCAGACACACACCAAGCACAUUAUGUUCGGACAUUCAAUCAUGACAUGAUCCAUGUGGAUGCUGUCCAUUGAAGAAAGAGUUUGUUCAGCGGUUUCUGGAUAGAAUUAAUUCCAAAGAUGGGAAAAAGUGCACAUCCAGACAAGGAGCAAGCAAAAAGACAAGGAACUUGGUGCAGAGAAAAGCUGUGGCCAUUAACCCCCAUGUGAACAGCUUCAUGCAGUCCCUGAUUGAGUUCGAAUGGACGACUUCAAAGUAAAGGCCACUGUGGUCUGUCUGCCACAGUUUAAUGCAUUUAUUUUUAGUGUUAAAUUAAAUUCAAGUAGAAUAUUUAAAACUAUGGGCCAGUGUUCUUUUUACCACAGUGAAAUGUUACCUUUUAGUCGAUGAUGGACUUUAAACUGAAAACUUCAAACUAUGGAACAGUGUUCUAUUUGCCAGAGUUAAAUAUGUUACAGCAGGGGUCUCCAAACUUGUUUAUACUUGUUGAUUUUAUUUUAUGUUACUUGAUUAUAUGUUUAUUAUUGUUUAAAAUCUUGUUUUAAAUAUGUUUUGUUUCAAUUAAAUGUUUUUUUAAAUAAAAUUUUGAUACAAACAUUGCUUGGAUUGCCUUUUAAUUCAUUAUGUUUUAAUUUAGCAUUUUUACCAUAUUAAUAACUAUAGAUUUAAACCUAAAUAUCUAGCUAUUUUAUAUAAUAUUAUUGUAUUAACUGUAAUAAGUAAUAAAUAGUAUUUAUGGGUCAAUAUAGACAUUACAGUAAAUUACUGUAAAAAUAGACUACUGUAAUAAAAUAUUGUAAAAUUACAGUACAGUACUGCUUUGUAACUAUACAGUACUAGUUUGUGUACUGUAAAAUGGUAUUACAGUACAUUACUGUAAAA